GUAGGUGUGACUAGAAAGCCGUGCCGGGGGUUGAGGUGCCAGCCUUGUGCUUACGCACUUCCUUAGACACUGAAGAACCCGAGCGGCCUGCGUCGAGCUUCUAGAAGAGGCAGAAGAAACGAAUCCAUGUGCGUUCAGAGCAGUGUCAGGAAAUACAUGCAGAAUGGGAGCUGGACCUGGGCCCUCCUCUGAGAUGGGUGUCUGGGAUUGUAGGACCUGGAGUGGAAAGAGGAGUCUUCUCUCCCAUCAAAACCCUCUGCAGAAACAGGUGGUCCUUCCUCACGUUCAGAGUUAAAGGACUCUCCUGACUGAACAAACCCUAAGCAGGAUUCUGAAUCCCAGAAACCAGAAGAAAAGCAGAAACAGCCAAGCUUGUCAUUGCUUCUUUCAGGAAGGCCAGGGGGAGAAUGGGCAGUUGGAAACGAUCAUAGUAAUCAGGAUCCCAGACCUCCAACUCCACUGAGAAGCACGCUUGGGACAUAAGAUGCAUUAAAGGUUUUAUCCUUGUGAUGUCAACACGCACUGAGACCAGAUGGUCCAACCAUCUUAAGAAAUUCAGAGCUGUGUAUCUUUUUUUCCCGAAUUGAAAAGCUCAA